CCUGUUGUAAAUCUCCGGCACAGCUGGGUCAGAGAGAGUCAGGUUCACCCCGUGCGUCCUCUCCAUGAUGAACUGCCCCACUAAAUGUAAGACUUGUGUGAGUGUGGAUGGCCACUGACUCAGGGACGUGCAAAUGUUGUUUGGAAAUAAAGACUGGCAAGAAACAUUACCUGAAUGAUACUAGCUUAAUAACUAUUUGGCAAGUUACAAUUGAAUUCAGUCCUCUAACAGAGACUGAUUUAAUCAAGAAGAAACACUUUCAGAAAACUCAGUAAGGGCAAUAGCUGUAACUGAAUCCUAGGGAGGCAGUGAUCUAGGAAGAAAUCCUUCUGGAUAGGUGUUGUUUUGCAGAAGAUGUAAACUGGCAGGAGGCUCAUGAGUCUCUGUCAUUGAAAGGUGGCAUGCGUUUUAGUGUUUCUUUUUUUCCCGAUCUGUUAGGUUAUCACUAGUUUAAAUGAAGAGGUUCUCUUUCAUUAUUUCCUGCUCUUCCGAUUUGCUCUUAUUUAUGCAACAAAGAGGAUGAUUCAACAGCAACUCAGUCCCAAGUUACUGAUGCCUUAAGCAUACAUUCCACCCCAUGACCUCACCUCCCAAAAAAGGUUCCUGAGUGAUUAGUGAGCAGCUUCACAAGUGUCCCAAUGUCUCUUCCUUGUCCUUCUAGCUCCCCAGGAGAAUCUGGUCGUGGAAGUCUUCCCGGACCUGACUGACGUAAAGGCUCUGAGUAAUGUGAACGAAUUCAGGGAAGCCAAUGAACACGUAAAUGUUCAGGGAUCAACACUCUGCUGAGGUUUCACUGAGGACCUGCCAGUCAACCCAGCUUGUGACAAGACAGAAGAGACUCCAUGUGCCUCCAAGGAAAGGUUUUUUUCUUUUUUCUGGUCUGAGAUAGAAAUAUUGUUUCCUUUCUUUUUAAGUACAAUUAAGUUAUGCAUCUUUGAAGGUGUUCGUUUCAGACAGAGGCGAUUUCCUUGGUUGGGAUAAUGUGAAGUGAGAUACUUAUUACCAAAUCAUGAUGCCUCAUUCCAUAGGAUACUAAAAUUGUUAGCAUCCAUUACACCCUGUAGAGUACAUAGUUCUCUCUCCUGCAGCAAAAUUUCCUCUAAGAAAAGAAUUCUGCAAUUUCCAAUCCAAAUGAACUUGGAAGUUCCAUCCUCCAGGCAAAGGUCUUGCCUUUCAUCCUGAGUAUGUGUGUUCUGAUAGUGAUGGGUUCCAUGGACUUCACCACUGUUCCUCAUCAGGAACUGUCACCAAAUGAACCAAAGACUGUGCAUCUAUGUGAUCUUAUCCUCAUAGUGUCUUCUCUUCUGUACUUGCAGGUGACUCUUUCAGAAUGUGAAAGUAGUAUGUAUUCUAGAAUCAUUCAUUUUAGGAGAAAAAUUUGUAGAUGAGAAAGUUGGGGCUUUCUCUCUGGCUUUAGUGUAGAGGCCAAACUGAUUCAAAAUUCAUGGGGGCAAUGAGUAUAGGGGCCCUAAUGAUAGAAAGUAAUUUAUAAGUAGAGCAAUGUGGCUGAUUACUGUAGUCCCAGGAAGAAGCUGUGUUAUGGUUAAUAGUGUAGGUUUGUGUCCAUGGGACUGGGUGUGUAUCUGUGUGUAAUGAAUAGUGUGAUUCUUCA